rnacentral:pre_miRNA from 1 species
GUGAUUUCUGACGUGGCAUCAUCAAGAUUCACACAUUUACUGCAUGCAUGCUUAUAUCUGGGCAUCUUUGGUUUACUUCGAUCUCGAUCGAUUAAUUUCUCUCUCCCCGGCCUGCAUACAUGAUCGAUAUAUAUAUAUAUGAUGCAUGGAGCUUUGAGAUUGAUCGGGGGGAUGAAAUUAAUCCGAUCGAGCAGAAGAAUAGAGUGAUGGCAUGUGCAUGUGUGGGAAUCUUGAUGAUGCUGCAUCGGAAAUUAA